rnacentral:rRNA from 1 species
GUUGAUAAGGUUAAGUGAAUAAGGGCGCACGGUGGAUGCCUUGGCACUAGGAGCCGAUGAAGGACGGGACUAACACCGAUAUGCUUUGGGGAGCUGUACGUAAGCUA